rnacentral:misc_RNA from 1 species
UUACGAUCCAGAGAGGAAACUCCAUCAUGUUAAAUAUGAUGAUCGAGAUGAGGAAUGGAUAAACCUAGAAAGUGAGAGGUUUAAACUUUUGCUUUUCCCUGGGGAGGUACCGGGAAAAAGGAGAGUCAGAAAAUCUGCAAAUGCUACAGAAAGCAUUGACGAAAGAAAACUUGACUUGGUGGUAGAUGGUGACAGCCACCAAGGUAACUGUCCGGACUCUGAGCCCAUUAUAUCUUGGUUGGCUCGAUCAUCUCGUCGAGUAAAGUCUUCUCCUUCCAGGCCAUUGAAG